GAUGAACGCUGGCGGCGUGCCUAAUACAUGCAAGUCGAGCGAACAGACGAGGAGCUUGCUCCUCUGACGUUAGCGGCGGAAGGGUGAGUAACACGUGGAUAACCUACCUAUAAGACUGGGAUAACUUCGGGAAACCGGAGCUAAUACCGGAUAAUAUAUUGAACCGCAUGGUUCAAUAGUGAAAGACGGUUUUGCUGUCACUUAUAGAUGGAUCCACGCCGCAUUAGCUAGUUGGUAAGGUAACGGCUUACCAAGGCAACGGUGCGUAGCCGACCGGAGAGUGUGAUCGGCCGCGGUGGGACUGGAACACGUUCCAAGCGCCUACGGGAAGCAGCAGAAGGGAAUCUUCCGCAAUAGGCGAAAGCCUGACGGAGCAAGUCCGCGUAGGUGAUGAAGGUCUUCGGAUCGUAAAACUCUGUUAUUAGGGAAGAACAAAUGUGUAAGUAACUAUGCACGUCUUGACGGUACCUAAUCAGAAAGCCACGGCUAACUACGUG
rnacentral:rRNA from 1 species